UAUGCUCAGAGAAGUGAAGAGGACAAAAUCAGACUCAAUGACAUUCGCUAUCUGUGGGAAGCUUGUCACCUUUUCGAAGGAUGACUUUUUAGUGAUGACUGGUUUGUGGCAAUCCCCAUCACGAGUUGAUCGGAAUCAGCAGUUCUCAUAUGAACUUGCCAUCAAGUAUUUUGGAAAUUGAGUGAUGAAGGACACUUUACACCUCCGUGAACUCGAAGAAAAAUACAAGCACUUAGAGUUUGAAAACAAUGAUGAUGUUGUGAAGAUCAGCCUAGUUUACUACAUUGAGGUCGCAAUGAUAGGAAAAAACAAGCAGAAAAAUGCAGUCGACCUCAAAUGUUUCAAGGACGUUCAAAGCUUAGAGUACUACAAUAGUCUUGAUUGCGGUACCAUUAUCUGGGAGAGGAGAUUGGAUGCCCUAAAGACUGCCUUGAAUGAUAAGAGCAGCCUUUACAAGAUGAGGGUCAAAUCAAAUAAAAUCUACGUUGUGAAGUACUCCUUACGUGGAUUUCCACAAGUGUUUCAGGUAUGGACGUUUGAGAUCCUAGCUUCAUCGAUAGCUGGGAACAUUGCAGAGCAAAAGAGCAAGGUGGCUUUGCCCGGCAUAUUAUGACGGUCAUGCUCCCACUCGGUAUCCUUCAAAGUACUCAAGAGGGAGAUAUUCGAGUUUAACAAUAUGAAGGUUAAAGAGGGCACAGUGAUGUCAAAUGCUGAAAGGGAGUUUCGGGAUACUCCGGUGGAACGACGACCUAUAUUUGAGCUAGGUGCGGAUGAUGAUAGUUCUGAAAGUGGCUCAAGGUCGACGAGUGAGGGGGAUAGUCCCGAGAGUGAAAGUGACAGUGAUGACCAUCGUGGAGAUGCCAAUGACGAGGUUGUCAGGGUGGAGGGAGGGGAUGAUCUCGAGCAUUCUGAGCACGAGGAUGCUGAAUAUGAAAGGUGGAAGGAAGGAUAGAAGAAGGGAUAUAAACACGUAGUGAUGAUAUGUUCGAUGAUAUGAUAGGGGACGUACGCGAGGAGAACGAGUUGAACCAAGUUGAUGUCUUUCAUGCGUACUCCGGUACAGAGCGUCAUGUGGAUGAGGAGUGUCUUGAGUGUGCUGCCCGCCACAGGAAGGGAGCCAAUGCAGACGAGUCUACUUAUUCGUACCUUCAGUCCAUUGACAGCACACUAUCAAGGUUGCGGGUUUAGAUAGUCGUGUCUCUAGUAUAGAGGAAAACAUGACUGAAAUAAAAGGGCAA